UUGGAAAGCGGAAGCCGGGAAUGGAAAGCCCGGUGCAAGCGGGGUACCAGUCACUUUGGCAAAUCCGGGUGGCAAUGGGAAGCCGUGAUGCGGAGCGAAAUAAAGUAGCGAAGUCCGUGAGCCAUGCGUCAAGAAAAGCCGCUAUCGUUUAUACCGUACCCGUACCGUAAACCGACACAGGUGGAUGAGGAGAGAAUCCUAAGGCCGGCGGAAGAAGCAUUGUCAAGGAACUCGGCAAAAUGGCCCCGUAACUUAGGGAUAAGGGGUGCCUGGGAAACCAGGCCGCAGAGAAUAGGCUCAAGCAACUGUUUAGCAAAAACACAGGUCUAUGCGAAACCGAAAGGUGAGGUAUAUGGGCUGACGCCUGCCCGGUGCUGGAAGGUUAAGAGGAGAGGUUAGCGCAAGCGAAGCUUUGAAUUUAAGCCCCAGUAAACGGCGGCCGUAACGAUAACGGUCCUAAGGUAGCGAAAUUCCUUGUCGGGUAAGUUCCGACCCGCACGAAAGGCGUAAUGAUUUGAGCGCUGUCUCGACAAUGCAUCCGGUGAAAUUGAAGUACCAGUGAAGAUGCUGGUUACCUGCGCCAGGACGGAAAGACCCCAUGGAGCUUUACUCCAGUUUGGUACUGGGACUCGGUAUUGCAUGUACAGGAUAGGUGGGAGGCUGAGAGACAGUAACGCCAGUUAUUGUGGAGCCGCUGUUGGGAUACCACCCUUGCAGUAUUGGGUUUCUAACCAGCCGCCGUGACCCGGCGGUGGGACAAUGCCAGACGGGGAGUUUGACUGGGGCGGCGCCUCCGAAAGGGUAUCGGAGGCGCCCAAAGGUUCCCUCAGAAUGGACGGAAACCAUUCGUAGAGUGCAAAGGCAGAAGGGAGCUUGACUGCGACACCGACGGGUGGAGCAGGUACGAAAGUAGGGCUUAGUGAUCCGGUGGUAUUAAGUGGGAAUGCCAUCGCUCAACGGAUAAAAGCUACCCUAGGAUAACAGGCUUAUCACUCCCAAGAGUUCACAUCGACGGAGUGGUUUGGCACCUCGAUGUCGGCUCAUCGCAUCCUGGGGCUGUAGUAGGUCCCAAGGGUUGGGCUGUUCGCCCAUUAAAGCGGUACGCGAGCUGGGUUCAGAACGUCGUGAGACAGUUCGGUCCCUAUCCGGCGUGGGCGUAGGAUAUCUGAGAGGAGCUGUCCUUAGUACGAGAGGACCGGGAUGGACGGGCCGCUGGUGCAUCGGUUAGACUGCCAAGUCUACGGCCGAGUAGCCAAGCCCGGAAGGGAUAAACGCUGAAGGCAUCUAAGCGUGAAGCCCCCCUUAAGAUGAGAUAUCCCAUUCGAAAGAAGUAAACCCCCUUGAAGACGACGAGGUAGAUAGGACAGAGGUGGAAGUGUGGCAACGCAUGGAGCUGACUGUUACUAAUCGGGUGAGGGCUUGACC
rnacentral:rRNA from 1 species